rnacentral:rRNA from 1 species
UGGGGAAUAUUGCACAAUGGAGGGAACUCUGAUGCAGCGACGCCGCGUGAGUGAUGAAGGAAUUCGUUUCGUAAAACUCUGUUCUAUGGGAAGAAAAGGACUGUACCAUAGGAGAAAGCUCCGGCUAAAUACGUGCCAGCAGCCGCGGUAAUACGUAUGGAGCGAGCGUUUUCCGGAAUUAUUGGGCGUAAAGGGUGCGCAGGCGGCUUUACAAGUUGGAUGUGAAAUAUUGUGGCUCAACCACAAACGUGCAUCCAAAACUGCAAAGCUUGAGUUAAGGAGAGGUAAGUGGAAUUCCUGGUGUAGCGGUGGAAUGCGUAGAUAUCAGGAGGAAUACCGGUGGCGAAGGCGACUUACUGGACUUAAACUGACGCUCAGGCACGAAAGCGUGGGGAGCAAACAGG